GAGCGCAACACAUAGCCAGUUUCACUGGCGCUGAAGUUACCUACGGGUAGUUCAGGUAAUGGGGCCGCCUGUAAAGGGGGCCUUUUUACUUUUU
rfam:Citrobacter koseri ATCC BAA-895, complete genome.